rnacentral:lncRNA from 1 species
UAGAGAGGAGUCCAGUAAUUACAACACAGGGUGGCACAUGGAGUUCCCCUGGAUUUCCUGGUCAUGAGGAGUGGGUAGCAGGAUGAAGCGCCUCCAAGCUUGGACCUCCUGCAGAGACUUCUUUAGUUCUGGCCCCACUCAAAACUAGCAGCCUUAGGGCUAUUCGGAAACUUUCUAUAAUAAUACCAAUACAACCAAAGACUAUUAUUCUGAACAGAAAACAAGAAAUACAGCUG